GAGACCAGUAAAAAUCUAAGAUUUGGUCCGCUCAGCUUUUGUCAACAUUGUUGUGUAAAAAGAACCAAAAUGCAGCUCUCUCUAUUUAUGUCCAUGUACUGAGAUUACAAGAUUCAGAUAAAAAAAUGAACACGUAAUUACAUACUCAUCAUUCACGCCAAUAAGACCAAACACAACAAAAGGAAGAAGAAAUCUCCGAGCAGGGGAAACAAUUCGGUACUACAGGCAACGCCGUCCACGGCACUUAGAAGAGGUAGCCGAAGACGAGCGCGGUCAAGGACGCGGCGGCAACGGCCGGCGCGGCCAUGGACGCGCCGGACGUC
rnacentral:lncRNA from 1 species